GUAGAGGUGGCGAUAGAGGUGAUGGUGGGUCUGGGCCUUGGCAGAUACGACAGAGACACCGUACAAGCAACGUAUAAUUAGUCUAAUGACAGUGCCGAGUGCUGUAGCUAUCCCGGAAGCUUGGAGAAGCGUCGUAAGAAUGGAGCACCGAUCAACCUAUGACCACAAUGCCCGUGGGAAUUUGGCUUCGAAAGCUCGUGACGCGUUUCAUCGUUCCUCUUCCAUUUCUACGCGCCUACCUGCACAGAGAAUACAUCCACCUCACGUACACUUGGGAAACGACGAACUGUAUCGUGGAGCGUGACUAAUUGUCAGCAAUAAUACCGGCGACUUAUCACACCGCCCUAAGUGUAAUAGCGAGCUAGGAAAGAUUUGCAGACUGUCUAGUGAUCCCAUGGUAAAAGAUGAAGAUUCCCUUUGUGCAGAAAUUUUAAUACUAUAUACCAAUGACUCCAUCUUAUUUAUCUCAAAACUGAACAAUGAAAAACGAACCGUUUGAUCUAUCUUUUAGUAAAGAUGAAAUAAGUAUAUCUUGAUAAUCAUCAGUUAAUUAAGACGAUUGGAAAGACAGUCCGAAGUAAGUAUCUUCCAAGACGAUAUAAAAAGUAAAAAAAUUGAGAAAAAGAAAACAUAAAAACGCAUGCAGAGGCAGAGAAAAAGUACGUUCUUUCGGCAGGUUGCCAAGGGGGAGGAGGGAAGAGGAAGCAGGUUUUCUACCCUUUAGAAAGCAUCGUUCCAACUGCAUCUUCGUGGAUGGAAUUUAAAAGCGGAUGAGUGUAGUAAGUUUUCAGUUUUCUUCAGCUUCUGCCACGAUUUUCUCUCUUUUCUUUUCUUGUUUUCUCUCUUUCUCUUCUUCUUCUUCUUCUUCUUCUACUUCUACUUCUUCUUCUUCUUCUUCUUCUUCUCUUGGUCGAAGAGCACUGAGAGUCUGGACUUCCAUUAAUCGUGAAAGCAAUUAUUACGAGGGAAAGGUCAUGGGGCAGACUCUUAAUCGUUCUGAGGUGUGAAUGCUAAUGAGUCCGAAGAACAUGGAGCCAAGAUGCUCGUUGUCCGCACUUUCGAGAAAAAGAACGCUUGUGGCGAUCUUAUAGCCUGACCUUGAUUAAUGCUGAGAAUAAAUGUACUCGAAAUAUUUUAUACUAUAUAGGUACAGUCUAAUGCCUUCUUGGUAGAUUAUAUAUCACGUCAGAAUUGGAUACAGCCAAGAAGAUGAUUGCGAGUGUGGUGUCAUUAUAUAGUUGCAACUAUCAUGCAGUUAAAGUUUCUUAUUCUUAUAUUAUAUGCGCACAUAUGUUCUACGUAUGUAAAACAUAUAUUUAUGCAUUAUAUGUAUAAGCGUUGAUAUUUUUCUUUUUUUUUUUUUUUUUAGAUUAGAUUCAUCAUUGGUAACAACAUAAAUUGAAGAAAAGAAUCUUAUAAUUAGCACGCAUAAGUGGGUCAUUACCGUUUUUGUUAGCCAUGCGUGUCGAUUUUAUCUCUCUGUUCUUUUUAGGUAUGUAAAUCUUUUCUCUAGGGAAUAUUUAAUCGUUUGAGUAAGCUCUUCGAGAUAGUUAACAAUAAAAAAUUUACGAUGAAAUAAUGUACUUCCAACGGAUAUUAAAGAAAUAUCAUACUUAUUUUUCUGAUUAGUAUCGGAUACAUGCGGUUUGUUGGUUUUCGAAUGAACCUUUCAAAAUUUUUUUCAAUGUAACGAGACGUUACGAGACUAACAGAGAUGAUGCGAUUUCACGGCAAUCGAACAUCCAUACUAUAGCAUAGCGGAUCUUAAUAAUCCUAUUUCAUCCUUCAUCUGUUCUUUAUCGUAUCUAUAUCCAUAUUGAGUUUUACAAUUUUUUUCAUAACCAUACCGACUAAUAACAGAAUGGAUUUGUAAGCUGAGAUGUAUGUACAUAAUCGGAUCUGUAGGUAUAACAUUAAUACUCCAAAAAUGGAUAUUCAAGUGAAAAGUAUCGGCUUUAGAAUUAUGAAAGAAGCUAAGUAUAAAAUCGUCCUGUUAUAAUCUUCAUAAUUGGUAAAAUUUAACAGGAUGAAGUUUCUUGGUAAUGUUAUAAAUUCUUUCAUGAACAAUAUACUUUUGAUACGUACUCGAUGUUAAAUGGAAUAAUUAACAACGUCACAAUUGGUAGUAAAUCUUGAUUUUCUUAAAGCUAGAAUGUAAUUCGGCCGACGUAACGAACCAAUGUACAUAACGAGCGCCUAAUUUAGAGUUAAGCUGCAAAGAGCAAGAGAGAAAGAGAAAGAGAGAGAAAGAGAGAGAGAGAGAGAGAGAGAGAAAAGUUGAGGAAGAGAGAAAACUGUCUAGUGUAGAGACGCCUUGCACCAGUGAAAAUAUAUCUACGAAACAGAAAUUGCAGUCUAGGACGAAAUUUAGUCUUGUUAACCUGACUCGGCAUUAAUGUACACUCGACGUAAUAGUUCCGUUAACCGGUAGUUAUGUCAAUUAGGUUUACUCGAACUGGCUGCUUUCGGAAUUAUUUAAAGAGUUAUUUCAGUGGUGGUCUCUAGCGAGAGUUACAAGAGAAGAUUAGGAUUAUGCUUUUGGGAGGUUUAAGGUGUCAGCAUCUAUUCGAAUUACUUUGUCUUAAUCAAUCCUAACCAAUUCAAACCUAUCAUAUAUUCCGUCCGAUUUGCAUAAUAAUCAGAGAUGACGUAAUCAGAGAAGAUAUAAGACAUCCGAAUUGAAAAAGGGAUCCUUCUGUGCAAUAAAAAAAAAUGAUCGAAUAAAAAGAUCAGCAAAAUAUUCAUUCAUUAUUACGGUUAAAUCAAUUAUCGAUGAAAGCGUUAAAGGCAGAAAACAACAAACACGCGUGUUGUAUAAAUCAGAUAUAUGAACGACGAAACUCGAUGAGUACGUAUCAUUGAGGUGCUUCUCUUUGGUUACAAAAUACAUUCACAUUGCCAACAGCGUUACGACGUUACGACGUAAUAUAACGGUGUACGUAAUACGAAAAGCCAUUGUGAAUUACGACUCGACGUUCGUGUUGCAUACGCGAUGCGACGACAAUUCAAGAGAACAUUUCACUUUCCACGGCACUUGCUUCAAUUCAAUCUUUAACCUAUCGUAGACCUGAAUACGAUCAUUACGUUGAUCUUCGAACGAGCAACAAUAAAACAAGGGACCAUUUUAUUUCGAUUAUUUUCUACGGCAAUACCAAUAGCCAAUACAAAUCCAAUUCAUUCCGAUUGGUAUGUCGAUCUUAAUAUUUCUUCUUUCUGGAAUUAUUACACAACGAUU